rnacentral:rRNA from 1 species
CACACAACAGGUGGAGCCUGCGGUUUAAUCGACUCAACGCCGGGAAACUCACCAGAUAAGACAGCUGAAUGAUAGUCGGGCUGAAGACUCACUUGACUAGCUGAGAGGAGGUGCAUGGCCGUCGUCAGUUCGUACUGUGAAGCAUCCUGUUAAGUCAGGCAACGAGCGAGACCCACGCCAACAGUUGCCAGCUCGUCCUCCGGGAUGGUGGGGACACUGUUGGGACCGCCUCUGCUAAAGAGGAGGAAGGAAUGGGCAACGGUAGGUCAGCAUGCCCCGAAUUAUCUGGGCUACACGCGGGCUACAAUGGGUGGGACAAUGGGUAUCGACACCGAAAGGUGAAGGCAAUCUCCUAAACCCAAUCUUAGUUCGGAUUGAGGGCUGCAACUCGCCCUCAUGAAGCUGGAAUCCGUAGUAAUCGCGUUUCAACAGAACGCGGUGAAUACGUCCCUGCUCCUU